rnacentral:rRNA from 1 species
CAAUAGCGUAUCUUGAAACUGUUGCGGCUAAAAGCUCGUAGUUGGAUUUCUGCCGAGGACGACCGGUCUGCCCUCUGGGUGAGUAUCUGGCUCGGCCUGGGCAUCUUCUUGGAGAACGUAUCUGCACUUGACUGUGUGGUGUGGUAUCCAGGACUUUUACUUCGAGGAAAGUAAAAUGUUUCAAGCAGGCAUAUGCUUUGAAUACAUUAGCAUGGAAUAAUAAGAUAGGACCUCGGUUCUAUUUUGUUGGUUUCUAGACCUGAGGUAAUGAUUAAUAGGGAUAGUUGGGGGCAUUCGUAUUUAAGUGUCAGAGGUGAAAUUCUUGGAUUUGUUAAAGACGGAAUGCUGCGAAAGCAUUUUCCAAGGAUGUUUUCAUUGAUAAAGAACGAAAGUUAGGGGAUCGAAGACGAUUAGAUACCGU